rfam:Hymenobacter psychrotolerans DSM 18569 genome assembly, contig: EJ61DRAFT_scaffold00061.56
CAAGAAGUAAGCAAGGGCACACGGGGGAUGCCUAGGCUCUCAGAGGCGAUGAAGGACGCGAUAAGCUGCGAAAAGCGACGGGAAGGAGCACAUAUCCGGUGAUCCGUCGGUAUCCGAAUGGGGCAACCCCCUUGGUUGAAGACCAAGGACCUCUUUCUAUAGGAAAGCAGGGGCAAACCCGGGGAACUGAAACAUCUAAGUACCCGGAGGAAAAGAAAAUAACAAUGAUUCCCCAAGUAGUGGCGAGCGAACGGGGAGGAGCCCAAACCGGGUUGGUUACGGCCAGUCCGGGGUUGUAGGACCACGAUAUCUGAUUCAUACACAUUAGCUGAACGACGUGGGAAAGUCGAUCAUAGAGGGUGAGAAUCCCGUAAGCGAACUUGUGUGUGACGGUAGUGGAAUCCUGAGUAAGGCGGGACCAGCGAAAUCCCGUCUGAAUCCGGCGGUACCAUCCGCCAAGGCUACAUACUCCUGAGAGACCGAUAGUGAACUAGUACCGUGAGGGAAAGGUGAAAAGAACCGGGAAUACCGGAGUGAAAAGAACCUGAAACCGUGUGCUUACAAGCAGUUAGAGGGCUUUUGUGGCCUGAUAGCGUGCCUUUUGCAUAAUGAGCCUACGAGUUACUCCUCUCUGGCAAGGUUAAGUGUUUUGAAGCACGGAGCCGCAGCGAAAGCGAGUCUGAAUAGGGCGCAGAGUCAGAGGGGGUAGACGCGAAACUUUGUGAUCUACCCUUGGGCAGGUUGAAGGUUGGGUAACACCAACUGGAGGACCGAACCAGUUUCCGUUGAAAAGGAUUUGGAUGACCUGAGGGUAGGGGUGAAAGGCCAAUCAAACUGAGAAAUAGCUCGUACUCCCCGAAAUGUAUUUAGGUACAGCGUCGGCGUUGAGUUACGUGGAGGUAGAGCUACCGAUAGGACUAGGGGGUGUCACAGCCUACCGAAUCCUGACGAACUCCGAAUGCCACGUAAUAUAGCCGGCAGUGAGGCUUGGGGUGCUAAGGUCCCAGGCCGAGAGGGAAAGAACCCAGACCAUCUGCUAAGGUCCCUAAAUUCGGACUAAGUUGAACAAAGGAGGUCCACUUGCUUUGACAGCCAGGAGGUUGGCUUGGAAGCAGCCAUUCCUUUAAAGAGUGCGUAACAGCUCACUGGUCGAGCGAGAGGGCAUCGAUAAUACGCGGGCAUCAAGUCCGGUACCGAAGCAAUGGAUUUACGCUAUGCGUAAGUGGUAGGGGAGCAUUCCAGCAGCGGUGAAGCCGUGUCGUAAGGCCUGGUGGAGCGGCUGGAAAAGCAAAUGUAGGCAUGAGUAACGAUAAGGCGGG